rnacentral:rRNA from 1 species
GCUUGUCUCAAAGAUUAAGCCAUGCAUGUCUAAGUAUAAGCCUUUACACGGUGAGACUGCGAAUGGCUCAUUAAAUCAGAAACUGUUUAUUUGAUAGUGCCUACUACUUGGAUAACCGUAGUAAUUCUAGAGCUAAUACAUGCGUCAGAACCCAACUUUACGGAAGGGUCGUGUUUAUUAGAUACAAAACCAACAUCUCGUUGGUGAUUCAUAAUAACCAAGCGAAUCGUCGGUUUACCGACGAUAGAUCGUUCAAGUUUCUGACCUAUCAGCUUUGGUCGGUAGGGUAUUGGCCUACCGAGGCAAUGACGGGUAACGGAGAAUUAGGGUUCGAUUCCGGAGAGGGAGCCUGAGAAACGGCUACCACAUCUAAGGAAGGCAGCAGG